rnacentral:rRNA from 1 species
GUGAGGAAUAUUGGUCAAUGGGCGAGAGCCUGAACCAGCCAAGUCGCGUGAAGGAUGAAGGUUUUAUGAAUUGUAAACUUCUUUUGCAGGGGAAUAAAGUACGGUACGUGUACCGUUUUGUAUGUACUCUGCGAAUAAGGAUCGGCUAACUCCGUGCCAGCAGCCGCGGUAAUACGGAGGAUCCAAGCGUUAUCCGGAUUUAUUGGGUUUAAAGGGUGCGCAGGCGGGGUGAUAAGUCAGCGGUGAAAGUUUUCAGCUUAACUGUAAAAUUGCCGUUGAAACUGUCGAUCUUGAGUGCGAAUGAGGUAAGCGGAAUGUGUUGUGUAGCGGUGGAGUGCUUAGAUAUAACACAGAACACCGAUUGCGAAGGCAGCUUACUGGGAUGCAACUGACGCUCAUGCACGAAAGCGUGGGGAUCAAACAGGAUUAGAUACCCCAGUAGUCC